rnacentral:misc_RNA from 1 species
AAGUCGUAACAAGGUUUCCGUAGGUGAACCUGCGGAAGGAUCAUUACCAAUAUAGCGAACCGAGCGUUAGCGAGGCUUCGCGAUCAAAUUUGUAUUUAAAACCCAACUCUUUAAAUGUAUAUUAUUAUUGUAUUUUAAAUGAUGAAGAUCACUUUCAACAACGGAUCUCUUGGCUCUC